AACGCACAUUGCGCCCCCUGGCAUUCCGGGGGGCAUGCCUGUCCGAGCGUCAUUAAUGCCCUCAAGCCCGGCUUGUGUGUUGGGCCCUGCUCCCCCGGGGGCAGGCCCGAAAGGCAGUGGCGGCACCGCGUCCGGUCCUCGAGCGUAUGGGGCUUUGUCACCCGCUCUGUAGGCCCGGCCGGCGCUUGCCGACCCCCAUCAAUCUUUUUUCAGGUUGACCUCGGAUCAGGUAGGGAUACCCGCUGAACUUAA
rnacentral:misc_RNA from 1 species